CAUUCUGCUGCUUCCGGCUGCUGACGACCACAUGGGCCCCGUCCUGGGCCAAACGCCGGGCGAUGGCGAAGCCGAUCCUGUGAGCAGAAAGAGACAAAGACUGCUAAGGCCUGUGCAGGGGAAGAGGUCGACAGUAUGAGCUCUGAAGUUAAGACUGCCCGGGUUUGAAUUCUGGCUCUUUCUCUAUAUAACCCCUACGUGUGCCUACUAUGUGUAAAACAGGCUUAAUGGCAUGGCCAUUUUUGGCAUUCCUUUACUUGUUUUUAUUAUGACCUGGACCACAGCCUCAGUUCCCAAGAACUGACAUCACUUUCUACAGUUCCCACCAUGGGUGACAGGCUUCAUCCCCUCUUGGGACUGAGAGGGCCAGACUUUGGCAGCGUGUAAGGUCUGAGGACAGGGGCACCGGAGGCCGAGGAUGAGAGGCCAGUGCCUGUUUCCAGGCAGCCAGGGCCUCAGAAACUCCGGCCGGAGCACUCACCCGUCGGUGGAGGCCGUUACCAGGGCCACCUUAUUUGCGAGCGGGUCCCGGCGGGUCAUCCCGGAGCUGGCCAUCCGCACCGAAUUCCAAGCCCGGGCACAGAGGCCUAGCAGCCCCGCCUUGUGCAUGGAUCAGACCAGCAAGUGCCACUUCGGAUAAACCCUUUGGACUCCUAACUCCAAUCAGGUGUCUGCUUUGUUGAGGACUCACAGACACAGUCUCCUUUCUUCAAGAUCUUUACAAUGCAAGACCUCACUAACACACAGGGAUGGUCUCCCAGAGGGUCUGUGCUGUUCCUUCACUCAGAACAUCAAGAUGCACUGAAGUAAGGAUCCUCUAUUCUACAGUUCCUGCUAGCUGAGCUAUUCCAUGGGGGCUUCAGCAGGAAAUUCCAAGGUUGGCUUUGACAAGCUAAGGCCGGCUGGUGGAGCACAUCGAGUUCUGGAGGUUCAUGUGUGUUUUCAUGAAGAUCUGUCUGCCCGUAGCAGAUAAAGAGUUGUUGCCCCACUCCUCCUGGGGUCUUCUAUUUUCCUGGGAGGAAUUUCUGGAUUAACUGAACACACACACACACACACACACCCUUUUGAAGCAUCAACAGUAAUUCUGAGUUCUUAGGGACAAUGCAGAUUAAAUCCACAAUAAGAAAGACAACUAUGGCCAGGUGUGGUGGCUCACGCCUGUAAUCCCAGAACUUUGGGAGGCUGAGGCGGAUGGAUCACCUGAGGUCAGGAGUUAGAGACCAACCUGACCAACAUGGAGAAACCCCGUUUCUACUAAAAAUGCAAAAUUAGCCGGGCAUGGUGGCAGGCGCCUGUAAUCCCAAAUACUCGGGAGGCUGAGGCAGGAGAAUCACUUAAACCCGGGAGGCAGAGGUUGCAGUGAGCCAAGAUCGCGCCAUUGCACUCCAGCCUGGGCAAGAAGAGCAAAACUCCAUCUCAAAAAAAAAAAAAGAGUACUAUUGAUCCAGAGGUGACCAGACUAGCCUCACUGGAGAUAAUAGGUGACAUUAUUAUGCAAAGUGGUUUCAGUUCCCUUGUCUUGUUUUUGGAAUAGUAUAAGAGGCCUACAAUACGAAUAAAUAAGGCCCAUCACAAGCCUCACCAAAGGACAAAACUAAUCCACUUCUGAAGAAGGCUCUUUGUUGGGCCAGAUCAAAUCCUUGGACAGAACUGUACUCUUAAUCUCUGUAGUGAAAGUGGGGGGUAGUUUAAGAAUUUAUUAACCUUCUACCUUGAGCAAUCCCUCAGAAGUAAGAGGUGUCAGGCCUCUGAGCCGAAGCUCAGCCAUUGUAACCCCUGUGACCUGCACAUAUAUGUCCAGAUGGCCUGCAGGAGCCAAGAAGUCUGGGGCAGCUGAAAAACCACACAAGAAGUAAAACAGCCAGUUCCUGCCUUAACUGAUUAACCAACAUUACAACAUUCCACCAUUGUGACCUGUCCCUGUCCUACCUUAACUGAUCAAUCGACCUUGUGACAGUCUUCUUCUGGACAAUGGGUCUUAUCAUCUCCCCACCAUGUACCUUGUGACCCCCUCCUCUGCUAACAAUAGAUAACCACUUUUUACUGUAAUUUUCCAUUACCUACCCAACUCCUAUAAAGCAACCCCUUCCCCAUCUCCCUUCACUGACUCUGUUUUCAGACUCAGCCCACUUGCACUCAAGUGAAUAAACAGCCUUGUUGCUCACACAAAGCCUGUUGGUGGUCUCUUCACACAGAUGUGCUUGACAAAAGGGAAGGGUGGAUUUGUCCUUCUGGUUACAUAUGUUCUGCUCACUCAUUUUGAAUUUAAUUAAACAAGGAUUGCCCUUACCUUUUCAUACUUUGUAAGAAACCAUAAAUACUUAUGCACCAUGAUUUUUUUAAAGAAACACUUUUUAUUUUGAAGUAAUUAUAGUCUCAUAGGAAGUUGCAAAAGUAGUACAUAGAGUCCCUGAGUACUCUUCCCCCAGUGGUGACAACUGUAGUAUAAUAUCAAUUCUGGGAAAUUGACAUUGGUACAAUACCAAAUAUACUAUGCCUUUUUCUCUAAGGCAUGAUGUUGCAGUAGCAUCCUUGUACAUGUAGCUAGGAGAACUUGUACUAAGCCCAGAUAAAUAGUUGAAGUACAAGGGCAAGGAGUGUGUCUUUGAUAUUUUAAUAGAAAUCACCUAUUGCCCUCUAGAAAAGCUGUACCCUUUUCCAGUGGCAGAGAACCUUCCUGAAAGGCAGUCCUGUGUAAUGGUGUCCAUUUCAUCACACCCUUAAAACACUCAGCUUUAACAAACAUGCAGAUUUUUGCUGAUGUGGGAGAAAAUAUUAAUUAUUAAUGAUAUUAAGGUGAUUAUCUUUUCGUAUGUUUAUAGAUAUUUGUAUUUCUUUUUAAAUGAACUGCUCAUGACCUUUGUCUACUUUUAUUUGGGUUUACUUCUUUCUCAUUUAUUCCUAUAAACUCUUUAUAAAAGGAAAUUAACCAUUUGAUUGUCAUAUGUUGUGAAUAUUUUUACCAUUUUGACUUUUGAAUUUAUGUCUUUUUAAUGAAUUGUAGAAGUUUAAAAUCUUUAUGGAAUAAAUUUAUUUAGUUUUUUGUUU
rnacentral:lncRNA from 1 species